AGGGUUUGAUCCUGGCUCAGGAUGAACGCUGGCGGCGUGCCUAACACAUGCAAGUCGAGCGAAGCACUUUACUUUGAGAUCUUCGGAAGGAUAAGUUUUGUGACUGAGCGGCGGACGGGUGAGUAACGCGUGGGUAACCUGCCCCAUACAGGGGGAUAACAGUUAGAAAUGACUGCUAAUACCGCAUAAGACCACAGCGCCGCAUGGUGCAGGGGUAAAAACUCCGGUGGUAUGGGAUGGACCCGCGUCUGAUUAGCUAGUUGGUGAGGUAACGGCCCACCAAGGCAACGAUCAGUAGCCGACCUGAGAGGGUGACCGGCCACAUUGGGACUGAGACACGGCCCAA
rnacentral:rRNA from 1 species